rnacentral:rRNA from 1 species
GAUAACCUACGGGGGGCAGCAGUGGGGGAUAUUGCACAAUGGGGGGAACCCUGAUGCAGCGACGCCGCGUGGGUGAAGGAGUGCUUCGGCAUGUAAAGCCCUAUCGGCAGGGAAGAAGCAAGACGGUACCUGACUAAGAAGCCCCGGCUAACUACGUGCCAGCAGCCGCGGUAAUACGUAGGGGGCGAGCGUUAUCCGGAUUCACUGGGUGUAAAGGGAGCGUAGACGGUCAUGCAAGCCAGGGGUGAAAGCCCGGGGCCCAACCCCGGGACUGCCCUUGGAACUGUGCGGCUAGAGUGUCGGAG